AUAAUAAGACUUUAAGAAAUGUCAGAAGAUGUAAGUGCUGCAUACGAAUUUUAUGAAAAAGUUUUAGGUUCUCCUAAAUAUGUUCUUGCUCCAAUGGUAGAACAGUCAGAGUUAGCUUUUCGUUCUUUAUGUCGAGAAUAUGGUGCUCAACUAUGCUACACUCCAAUGUGGCAUGCUGCAUUAUUUGUUAAUAAUGAAAAAUACAGAAAAGCAGCUAUUGAAACAGCAUUUCAUGACAGACCGUUGUUGUUUCAGUUUUGCGCAAACGAUCCACAAAUUUUUGCAGAGGCUUGUGCAUUAGCUGAACCAUAUUGUGAUGGUGUGGAUUUAAAUUUGGGUUGUCCUCAAGUUAUCGCUGCAAGAGGUCACUAUGGUUCCUACCUGAUGGAAGAGUUGGAUCUUGUUGAAGAAAUUGUGAAAACAGCAUGUGCUCGCAUUACCAAACCAAUAACCUGUAAGAUACGUGUGUAUGAAUCUAUUGAGAAAACUGUAACAUAUGCUAAAAGAUUAGAGAGAGCUGGUGCCAAGAUUUUAACAGUACAUGGGCGGCGACGUGACCAGAAAGGCCCAAAAACAGGUCUUGCCAGUUGGGAUCAUAUAAAAGCAGUAAAAGAAAAUGUCCAAAUUCCUGUUUUUGCCAAUGGAAAUAUACAAUAUCUUAGAGAUGUAAUAAAGUGUUUAGAAUACACUAAAGUGGAUGGUAUCAUGAGUGCAGAAGGUGCUUUAUGCAAUCCUGCAAUUUUCAGUGGGCGCCAACCACCUGCUUGGGAGAUGGCAGAUUCAUACUUGGCCUAUGCUGAAAAGUAUACACCACCAGUAGGAUAUAUUCGUGGUCAUCUAUUUAGAAUCUAUUUGCACUGCUUAAGUAAAUACCCAGAUUUGAGAAUCCCAAUGGGUUUAGCAAGAUCAUUUGAUGCCCUUAAAGAGGUUUGCAAGCAAGUAAAAGAGCUGUGUUUAAAAGAUGCUGAAAAAGAUAUUGCAGAGGGAAAAGAUUCAGAAGAACCAGAUUGUCUUCCAUAUUGGAGAUGUCAACCUUAUGUUCGACCACCGAUUAAGGUAUUGGGAAAGCGAACUUCUGAUGAUGACGAAAAGUUACCAAGGAAUGAUUAUCCGUCAAAACGAAAACUUCUUCAAAUAAAACACCAAGAAAAUGGGGGAAAAGGAUUAUUUCGUAACCGUAUGUGUUUUUUUAAAGUUCACUGAAUGUUAGCUUGGUAUCUUAGAAAGGAAAAAAGUAUUUAUUUACACUUCUAGUACAUUGAGUACAACUUCUGUUGCGCGUGAUAAAUGGCCAUUGUGUAAAACGUGUGGUAGAAACCCAUGGGGACAAAAAUGUGAAUUCAAUCGUUGCCGAAAAUGUUGUAAAGAUAUAGCAGCUGUGGAGUUUCUCGACUGUAAAG
rnacentral:misc_RNA from 1 species